UCUUGUUUGUGAAAGAUCAUUAUUUUACUAAGAAAUUGCUGUUAUGUCCAAAACAACCACAUUGGCAUAAAACAAAUGAGUGUACUGAUUUGACAGCCUUAAAAAAAUGUAUUCCUACUUGGUAUCACGUUCGCUCUAGAUCUAGCUUGGAGACAAUACAUGUCACCAAUUUAGGUGCCACUGCCUAGGCUCUCCUUUUGUUGGACCAUCUCUGUUCUUCUUCUAUUUAUAGAUAUCUCUCUCUCGUGAUGGGAACAGUAGGAUGACGCAGAGAGGGGGUUCAGAAGUUUUUUUUAACACAACACACCCCUAACAAUAAUUGCUGGAGCAGGCUUUGUUGCUUCUAUCCUUUGUCCUGUGUCUGAGGCAUUUGUGGGAGCAUCGUUGUGUUCCGGUGACUGAGACAGAGACAAAGGCAGGCCAGCAGCCAUGGAUGAUGUAUACAAAGCAGCGGUUGAGAACUUAACAGAAGAGCAGAGAAAUGAGUUCAAGGCAGCCUUCGACAUUGCAACAUUAAGACACCAUGUUACAGCUGCUGUGUCUGUGUGUGUGUGUGUGUGUGUGUGUGUGUGUGUGUGUGUGUGUGUGUGUGUGUGUGUGU